rnacentral:tRNA from 1 species
GGCUCGUUGGUCAAGAGGUUAAGACACCGCCCUUUCACGGCGGUAACAGGGGUUCAAUUCCCCU